rnacentral:rRNA from 1 species
AAAGUGGAGCAAUCCAUGAGUAGAGUGGCAAACGGGUGAGUAACGCGUGGGUGACCUGCCUUCGAGUGGGGGAUAACGUUCCGAAAGGGACGCUAAUACCGCAUGACAUCCUGCCUUUGAAGAGGUGGAGAUCAAAGCUGGGGAUCGCAAGACCUAGCACUCGAUGAGGGGCCCGCGUCUGAUUAGCUAGUUGGUGGGGUAACGGCUCACCAAGGCAACGAUCAGUAUCCGGCCUGAGAGGGCGGACGGACACACUGGGACUGAGACACGGCCCAGACUCCUACGGGAGGCAGCAGUGGGGAAUUGUUCGCAAUGGGCGCAAGCCUGACGACGCAACGCCGCGUGGAGGAUGAAGAUCUUCGGGUCGUAAACUCCUUUCGAUCGAGACGAACAGUCUCCGGGUGAACAAUCCGGAGGUUUGACGGUACCGAGAGAAGAAGCCCCGGCUAACUCCGUGCCAGCAGCCGCGGUAAUACGGGGGGGGCAAGCGUUGUUCGGAAUUACUGGGCGUAAAGGGCUCGUAGGCGGCCAACUAAGUCAGACGUGAAAUCCCUCGGCUUAACCGGGGAACUGCGUCUGAUACUGGAUGGCUUGAGUUUGGGAGAGGGAUGCGGAAUUCCAGGUGUAGCGGUGAAAUGCGUAGAUAUCUGGAGGAACACCGGUGGCGAAGGCGGCAUCCUGGACCAACACUGACGCUGAGUGAGCGAAAGCCAGGGGAGCAAACGGGAUUAGAUACCCCGGUAGUCCUGGCCCUAAACGAUGAAUGCUUGGUGUGGCGGGUAUCGAUCCCUGCCGUGCCGAAGCUAACGCAUUAAGCAUUCCGCCUGGGGAGUACGGUCGCAAGGCUG